UACGUAGGGUGCAAGCGUUAUCCGGAAUUAUUGGGCGUAAAGAGCUCGUAGGCGGUUUGUCGCGUCUGCUGUGAAAACUGGAGGCUCAACCUCCAGCCUGCAGUGGGUACGGGCAAACUAGAGUGCGGUAGGGGAGAUUGGAAUUCCUGGUGUAGCGGUGGAAUGCGCAGAUAUCAGGAGGAACACCGGUGGCGAAGGCGGAUCUCUGGGCCGUAACUGACGCUGAGGAGCGAAAGCAUGGGGAGCGAACAGG
rnacentral:rRNA from 1 species